rnacentral:rRNA from 1 species
UACAGAGGUCUCAAGCGUUGUUCGGAUUCAUUGGGCGUAAAGGGUGCGUAGGUGGCGGGGUAAGUCAGGUGUGAAAUCUCGAGGCUCAACCUCGAAACUGCACUUGAUACUGCCUUGCUCGAGUACUGGAGAGGAGAUUGGAAUUUACGGUGUAGCAGUGAAAUGCGUAGAUAUCGUAAGGAAGACCAGUGGCGAAGGCGAAUCUCUGAACAGUUACUGACACUGAGGCACGAAGGCCAGGGGAGCAAACAGG